rnacentral:tRNA from 1 species
UAGCUCAGUUGGGAGAGCAUCGCCCUUACAAGGCGAGGGUCACUGGUUCAAGUCCAGUACGACCCACCA